rnacentral:sRNA from 1 species
CACAUGUGAGACUGGGCAUGAUUCAGAAAAGUUGGAAGAUCUAGAGAGGGAUCUUGCAAUCUGAAGUUUCUUGUUUAGUCACUGGAGGUGAGCCCGAGAAUUUGCAUUUCUGACAAGAUCCCAGGAUCUGAACGUCUAUGACACUCUUUCGAGCUGACACAGUGAAGAACAUGGAAGGAGAACUCACCCAGUCUGCCAGGGUCACAGAUGAUCAUACUCAAGAUCUUCCUGGGGAGUCAAUGGCAAAUUUCACUGGGCUAUUUUACAGAUGAAGAAGGAACAUAAAGAAGGUUCUGGGACCCUGAAGUCCACGGAACACCCACCAUUACCUGAUCUUUGGAGCUUGUCAUUUGGCCAGUGGACCCUAAUAAACACGUCCAGGGGGAGGUGGGGAUAGAAUGCCAGAGCCUGGCUCGCUAGGGCAUCCAGGUUCUUCCUCUUUGCCCUGCUGUCUCCAGGCACCAAGAAUCUCCUACAGUUCCCCAAAGAUGAACCCCCCAUUGUCUCAGGUCACUCUGUUUCCCCCGAUCUUUACCAAAUUCCUGACUCAAGAGUUCCUCCCAUUUGCUUCUGACUCUCAUUUUAUUCUUAUGAUGUUUACCAUUUCUGUUCUCCUCAGUGUCCCUCUCUGAGUGGUAAGAGUAUGUUAAUAAGCCAGUGCUGAGACCAGAGCACAAGGCAACUGCUCAAUGUUGGUCAUUGUCACUGUUAU